GAGUGAACACAGCUCUUUUAGAAUUUUUUAUAGCGGCUUUUUUGACUUUGGUCAGAAAACCCAU